GCGCCCAUCGUCUAGCGGUUAGGACGCUGCCCUUUCACGGCGGAAACAGGGGUUCGAUUCCCCUUGGGCGUA
rnacentral:tRNA from 6 species